rnacentral:rRNA from 1 species
GUGUAGUCGAUGGGAAACGGGUUAAUAUUCCCGUACCUUGGAUAGCUGCGAUGGAGAGACGGAGAAGGCUAGGUGAGCCGGGCGACGGUUGUCCCGGUUUAAGCGAGUAGGGAGUGGACUUAGGCAAAUCCGGGUCCACAAUCUCGAGACGCGACGACGACUGCUCUUAGAGCGGGAAGUCAUUGAUGCCAUGCUUCCAGGAAAAUCUUCUAAGCUUCAGGUAAGAAUUGACCGUACUGUAAACCGACACAGGUGAUCAGGUAGAGAAUACCAAGGCGCUUGAGAGAACUAUCUUGAAGGAACUCGGCAAAAUACCUCCGUAAGUUCGCGAGAAGGAGGCCC